UAGUGCUAGAAUACACAUGGUGCGCUGGUAUCCUUUUGAUAUACUUUCUUUUGGAUUUGCUUUCUUUUGGCUAAAUACCCAGUAGUAGGAAUGCUGGAUUGUAUGGUAGUACUAUUUUUAGUUUUUUGAGUAAACUCCAUACCAUUUUCCAUAGUGGCUAUACUAAUUUACAUUUCUACUCACAGUGUAUAAGAGUUCCCUUUUCUCUGCAUCCUCAUCCAUAUUUGUUAUUUUUUGUCUUUUUUUAUAAUAGCCAUUCUAACUGAGGUGAGGUGGUGUCUCAUUGUGGUUUUGAUUUGGGUUUCCCUGAUGAUUAGUGAUGUUGAACCUUUUUUCAAAUACCUGUUGGCCAUUUGUAUGUCUUCUUUUGAGAAAUGUCUAUUUGGGUCUUUUGCCCAUUUUUAAUGGGAUUAUUUGGUGCGGGGAGAGGUUGCUGUUAAGUUGUUUGUAACUCUAAUUUUUGUACAACAAAAAUUUUGGAAGUUUUAACUAAUAAUAAUAAAACAUAUGACUGCACUUGUGUUUUUGUUUAACUGUGAACAAAGACUUAUAGAGAAGUGCAAAAAAUAAAUCCUCUUUUGCAACCCAGAACUCAUUGUUUAGUAAGGGUUUUGAUACAUAUAAAAGAGAUAUUACAAUUUUUUAAACGAUGAAUUUUCUAAUUUUUUUAGAAAUUUUUCAACUGUGUCAGCAUUUGAAAGCUACUAGACUCAUUCCCUGAGACAUGAAAACAUGGAUGGCAUUGUAAUUUCUAGAACUUCUUGUAAAAUGAGAUUUUUGUGAGUCUCUGCUAAACUUAUCCUUCUGUUUAAAACUUUUUCUAUUUACUUAUAUGUUACUUCAGAUGAAUUUUUUUAAUUAAAAUUAAUAAGAAGUAUGAGCAAAGAUAGCGUGACAUACCUUAUUAUAUUGACUAUUGAGGAUAAAUAUGCAAAGAUUAAUUUUGAUAAAAUUAUUUACAAGUUUGCAAAAGUUACAGCCUGAAAAUGAAAAUUGUGAUAUAUUAUCAUUCAUUACUGUGACAGACCAGUACACAAGUCUAAAUUUAUUUUUUCUCCAAAAAAUUAAUGUAAUAAAAGUAUUAUUUCAUUACUUUUCCCUUUAUUAUACUGUAAUAAUUAUUUUGUAUCAUAUUGUUUAUUUAUAUUUUAUUAGCAUCACUGUAUAUACACAGUUUAAUAAAUUGUUUUUUCACUGUUUGCAUUUCUUUCUUGGCAUCAUCAUCAGCUAUAUUGAUGCAUACAUUAACUGUAUUUCAUGAUUAUCAAUGAAAAUAACUUUGUUGGGGAGGUGUUACAAAAUUAUUCACUUCAGGUAUCUAAUAUGCCAGACAUCUCACUAGCUGGCUGAUCCAGGGCACAUAACUGACCAAACUGGGGCCCCUCGACUCCCUCCCCAGGAAGGUGAAGCAUGGCUCUGAGCAGCAAGGGGCUGGACUCAGUGGAAGCUGAGUCGUGUGAUCAGCAGCACCAUAGAGUCCGUGAACUCCCACCAUAGAGGCCCUACAGCGGCCCUGCUCUGACCUUCCCACAGCCCCCUUGGGUUGUGAGAUACUCCAGAAUCAUUCCAAUAAACCUCCCUUCUGCCCCUUUUGCCCUUAGACCCAGGAUCAGUUUCUACUACUAGAAGAGCUAUUUUUCCACAAGGAAGGACAUACUGGUAGAGGAGGAAGGGUGGCAUGGGAAUGGAAUAGCAGGGAAAGAACUCUGCCAGCCAAAGCGUCUGAAAUGCGAGCACACACCAAUGCUCUGCUGCUCACUCUGCAAGGACGACCCACAGGAACACCUGGCACAACAGAGUGGGGUGUGUGAGUGGGACACUGGGAGGGACAGGAGUAAAAAGACACCUGAAGGGGAGGCUCCCUGUGCACCUGGAGCCCCACACCUCCCUUCUCCCCCAGGAAGCCUCCUAGCCCAGGAUCUUUUUCCAGCCAUCUAAAGAUGUGGGUUGUGCCCUGCUGAAGAAGUGACAGUGACAUCAGCCCUUAGGUGGCUACUAACACUUGUAAAACAUCUGAUGUCCAGGUUAGAUAUAAGCUGUGGACAUCCAUAGAACUGUCUACCCCGCCUGCUCUCAGCCCCAUAGCAAGGCAAGAGUGUCCUGAUUCUUGCAUGUCCCCACCCCCCCAGCUAACUGACCCAGGGAUGGUCUCUGACUCAUGCUGAACCAAUGAACUUCCCCAGGAAUUUUUAACCGGACCUUGAGGAAAUCAAGGUCAGACUCCCUCUCAUAGUGGAAGCUAUGGCCAGUCAUGUUUCCAGAAAGCUGGAUUGCAG
rnacentral:lncRNA from 10 species